UACGUAGGGUGCAAGCGUUAAUCGGAAUUACUGGGCGUAAAGCGUGCGCAGGCGGUUUUGUAAGACUGUCGUGAAAUCCCCGGGCUUAACCUGGGAAUGGCGAUGGUGACUGCAAGGCUAGAGUUUGGCAGAGGGGGGUAGAAUUCCACGGGUAGCAGUGAAAUGCGUAGAGAUGUGGAGGAACACCGAUGGCGAAGGCAGCCCCCUGGGUCAAAACUGACGCUCAUGCACGAAAGCGUGGGGAGCAAACAGG
rnacentral:rRNA from 1 species